GAUGAAGAACGCAGCGAAAUGCGAUAAGUAAUGUGAAUUGCAGAAUUCCGUGAAUCAUCGAAUCUUUGAACGCACAUUGCGCCCUUUGGUAUUCCAAAGGGCAUGCCUGUUCGAGCGUCAUUUGUACCCUCAAGCUUUGCUUGGUGUUGGGCGUCUUGUCUCUAGCUUUGCUGGAGACUCGCCUUAAAGUAAUUGGCAGCCGGCCUACUGGUUUCGGAGCGCAGCACAAGUCGCACUCUCUAUCAGCAAAGGUCUAGCAUCCAUUAAGCCUUUUUUUCAACUUUUGACCUCGGAUCAGGUAGGGAUACCCGCUGAACUUAAGCAUAUCAAUAAGCGGAGGA
rnacentral:misc_RNA from 1 species